AUUGAACGCUGGCGGCAUGCCUAACACAUGCAAGUCGAACGGCAGCACAGUAAAGACUUCGGUCUUUAUGGGUGGCGAGUGGCGGACGGGUGAGUAACGCGUAGGAAUCUGUCCUGGAGGGUGGGAUAGCCCGAGGAAACUCGGGCUAAUACCGCAUGAUAUCGAGAGAUCAAAAGCAGAGGACCCCUCGGGGCCUUGCGCUCUAGGAUGAGCCUACGUCGGAUUAGCUAGGUGGUGGGGUAAAGGCCUACCAAGGCGACGAUCCGUAGCUGGUCUGAGAGGAUGACCAGCCACACUGGGAAUGAGACACGGCCCAGACUCCUACGGGAGGCAGCAGUGGGGAAUCUUGGACAAUGGGGGAAACCCUGAUCCAGCGAUGCCGCGUGUGUGAAGAAGGCCUUCGGGUUGUAAAGCACUUUAGUUGGGGAAGAAAAGUAAUAAGUAAAUAAUUUAUUGCUCUGACGGCACCCAAAGAAUAAGCACCGGCUAACUCUGUGCCAGCCGCCGCAGUAA
rnacentral:rRNA from 1 species